AACCAGGGCAGGGCACUCAGCAGGAUGCCUCAUCCAGCUGAUCCAGCUGAGCAUGAGGACAGCAAACAUCCCGUGAGCAAAGGGAAGCCCUGUGCCUGGUGAGAGGAAGGCAGGCCUCCUCUCCGCUGGACGGGAAACCUGCUUUCAGUCGUCAGCAUCUACGUGCCUUCCUGCUGCCAAGUCCACCUGUGGUUCCCACUCUACUCGUCUCUUAGGCACGAUCCAGCAACCACUUGUUCACACACGAUGCCAUCCAGCCAGGAGGUGCCAAGGAGACAUCUGCCCUGGGCUUCUUACGAAGACGGAAAGUAAGGAGCCCCUUUCUAUCUGUCAUGUGACGGAGUCCACAUGGGAGGCCAGAGAACUGACUGGAGAAAGACCCUCCUGAGGAGGUGGAGAGGGUGCUGGGCCCCUGCGGGCACAGCCGGGCACCUGUCCCUUGGUCUCUGGGAAGCCUGUGCCCCACGGAGGACAAGCUGUCAGUCACCAGAUGCACACGUGUUGGAGUCAUUACAAGCACAUCAUCGGUGCCAUGUCCCACCCUCCUUUUAGGCGGCUAAGGAACUAUGAAGAAUUGUUUUAUCUGUCUCACUGAUACCCAUCUAGGUGAUGUGUCAUAGUUCCCCCAGCCACUCUCCAAUUGGACAUCUGGGUCUCCAAUUCCCUUGGCGGUUACGCAGUGGGUGUCUUCCUGCUGAGGCCCUUUCUGUGCCGACACCCCUUCCCUAGGAUGGAUUCCUGGAAGCAGAGCUACUGUGAGCAGCAGCCAUAGAAACGCCUCUAGAAGGUGCUUCCCACAAGGUCUCUGACCCCGUCCCCUCCCCUCGCAGAGCGCGGUCUCAUGGCACCGAGUGUGGAAACCACUUUCAGUGUUUGCCUCCUGAACAGCACAACGGAAUUCCUUAUCUUGGUUUCCACUCCUCUGAUAAGGAAAAAUAAAUAUUCUAUGGGUUUGUUAGUAUCUCUUA